UUUCAUAAUUUUUAUUUUCUUUCUUACAUUUAGAUUUGGACUUAAGAAGCCCAUGUAAAUAAUAUACAAAAAUGGCCCAUAAGGAAAUGAACAUCAGAUAUCCAAAACGUAAUGCAUAUCAGCAUAUGUAUCUAAAAAGCCCAUAUUCACCUACAACCCUUCUCCCAAAAUCAGAUCUUCAUAUCCCUUUCUCAUUUCACAAAAGUCGUCGUUCUCCACUUCUCAUUUUCUCAUUUUAGAUCCCUCUUUUGCUUUCCUCUCAAAUCAGCAACCCUACAGACUACACUCUUAGGUUUUCCUCUCAACUUUACACUAAAUUGUAUUUCGCGAUGGAAGCUACAACUUCUGGAACUAAAUCGCUAGUGAUUGACAACAACCCUCCGAUUGCGCCAACAGAAUCUCAACAACAACAAGGCUGCAGCCUUUGUUUAUUUUUGCCCAGUUGCUGUAGUAUAGUGCACUGAUUUGGAUUUUUGCCCAAUCUUCAAGCUGUAGUGAUUUGGAUUUUUGCCCAAUCUUCAAGCUGCAGUUAUUCCUUUCAGUUGCUGUAGUAUAUUGCACUGAUUUGGAUUUUUGUUUUUGCUACAUCUGACAUUUUAUGGCCAUUUGACAUUUUAGUUAUACUAUAAAGUUAAAACUUCAAAUAGUGUUUUGCCUCCAUCUUAUAUGUUGA